rnacentral:rRNA from 1 species
GUCCUACGGGACGCAGCAGUGAGGAAUAUUGGUCAAUGGGCGAGAGCCUGAACCAGCCAAGUCGCGUGAAGGAUGACGGCCCUAUGGGUUGUAAACUUCUUUUGUCAGGGAGCAAUUGAGUCCACGUGUGGGCUUAGCGAGAGUACCUGAAGAAAAAGCAUCGGCUAACUCCGUGCCAGCAGCCGCGGUAAUACGGAGGAUGCGAGCGUUGUCCGGAUUUAUUGGGUUUAAAGGGUGCGUAGGCGGGCUGUUAAGUCAGCGGUAAAAGCCCGGGGCUCAACCCCGGCGAGCCGUUGAAACUGGCU